CGGGUGAGUAAUGUAUAGGAAUCUACCUAGUAGUACGGAAUAAUUGUUGGAAACGACAACUAAUACCGUAUACGCCCUACGGGGGAAAAAUUUAUUGCUAUUAGAUGAGCCUAUAUUAGAUUAGCUAGUUGGUGGGGUAAUAGCCUACCAAGGUAAUGAUCUAUAGCUGAUCUGAGAGGAUGAUCAGCCACACUGGAACUGAGAUACGGUCCAGACUCCUACGGGAGGCAGCAGUGGGGAAUAUUGGACAAUGGGCGAAAGCCUGAUCCAGCCAUGCCGCAUGAGUGAAGAAGGCCUUUGGGUUGUAAAGCUCUUUUAGUGAGGAAGAUAAUGACGGUACUCACAGAAGAAGUCCUGGCUAACUCCGUGCCAGCAGCCGCGGUAAUACGGAGAGGGCUAGCGUUAUUCGGAAUUAUUGGGCGUAAAGGGCGCGUAGGCUGGUUAAUAAGUUAAAAGUGAAAUCCCGAGGCUUAACCUUGGAAUUGCUUUUAAAACUAUUAAUCUAGAGAUUGAAAGAGGAUAGGGGAAUUCCUGAUGUAGAGGUAAAAUUCGUAAAUAUUAGGAGGAACACCAGUGGCGAAGGCGUCUAUCUGGUUCAAAUCUGACGCUGAAGCGCGAAGGCGUGGGGAGCAAACAGGAUUAGAUACCCUGGUAGUCCACGCUGUAAACGAUGAAUGUUAAAUAUGGGGAGUUUACUUUCUGUAUUACAGCUAACGCGUUAAACAUUCCGCCUGGGGACUACGGUCGCAAGAUUAAAACUCAAAGGAAUUGACCGGGGACCCGCACAAGCGGUGGAGCAUGUGGUUAAUCGAUGCAACG
rnacentral:rRNA from 1 species